rnacentral:misc_RNA from 1 species
UCUUAAGUAAAUGGCUCGCAGCAUCCAUGUUCCCAGCUUUACAGUGAACAUCAAUUAAUAUACUCCAAAUUCUCUCACAUAUAGGAACACCCAAAACUAUCAUCAGACCCAAUAUCUGUAUUGCCUCUGCUAUGCAACCUCCUUUACAAUAACAAUGCAAAAUCACAAAAAAUGUUUCCUCAUUAGGAUAAUACCUUUUCCUCAACAUUACUGUAAGUACAUCCUGAAGAUUAACCAAAUCAUUGAGCUUACACAAGUUACACACAGCAAUGCUAUACGACAAAAAAUUUGGAACCUCGGUUUCUUUCAAAACUCUAAGUGCCACUUCGACACGCUCAAUCUUGAACAAUACAUCCAUUACAAUAUUCCUAGAAAAAGUAUUUGGUGUAUAACCAUAUCUAAGUAUUUCCUCAAAUGCCUCG